AUUGAACGCUGGCGGCAGGCCUAACACAUGCAAGUCGAACGGUAACAGGAAGAAGCUUGCUUCUUUGCUGACGAGUGGCGGACGGGUGAGUAAUGUCUGGGAAACUGCCUGAUGGAGGGGGAUAACUACUGGAAACGGUAGCUAAUACCGCAUAAUGUCGCAAGACCAAAGAGGGGGACCUUCGGGCCUCUUGCCAUCGGAUGUGCCCAGAUGGGAUUACCUAGUAGGUGGGGUAACGGCUCACCUAGGCGACGAUCCCUAGCUGGUCUGAGAGGAUGACCAGCCACACUGGAACUGAGACACGGUCCAGACUCCUACGGGAGGCAGCAGUGGGGAAUAUUGCACAAUGGGCGCAAGCCUGAUGCAGCUAUGCCGCGUGUAUGAAGAAGGCCUUCGGGUUGUAAAGUACUUUCAGCGGGGAGGAAGGGAGUAAAGUUAAUACCUUUGCUCAUUGACGUUACCCGCAGAAGAAGCACCGGCUAACUCCGUG
rnacentral:rRNA from 1 species